rnacentral:lncRNA from 1 species
UAAUUAAUAAUCUUUUAAGACAUAAAACUAAAAAUAUAUAUUUUCUAAAUUUAAUUUUAGGGUUAAAUAUGCUUUUAGUCCUUUAAGUUUCACUGAUUUUUAGUUUUAGUCCCUGCAUAAAACAUUGAUGGCAUUUCGUCCUCUUAGUAUGAAAACAUGUAUGUUUAGACCCUAAAAAUAGACGACGUCAAUUUUUUGGUGAGGUGGGUAACGGCCCUGCCACAUCUUCACUGUGCACUCUCUGCCACUUAUGUUUUUUUUUAACAUUUGGAUUACCCUUUUUUGGUUUUGCACGUAUGUAAAGUGAUCAGAUCAAUUAGGGAUCAAAUUAUGAAUUAGGAUUUAGGGUAAAUUCGUUUUUUGAAAUUGGGGAAAAGUGACGCGAUCUCCCCUUCGUCACAAGCCGGCCACCGCGAGCUGCCGAUCAACCAAAGGUGUCACCGGCGAUACCGUCCGGCGAUGGGUCCGGCGAAACCAACCUGGAAAGUGCAAAGCUUUGAGUGGCAGCCGGGAAGCAUUAAAAUCGAAGAAAAAGCUAUCGUAAUAAUCCUCUUCUUCUUCUCUUCGCGCGAGGGAAACCCUCCUGUUCGUGAACGACGCUUGUCGUUCGUCGUCGCGACGGUGCCGCUGCCACCAAGUCAGGGUCGUCGCCCUCCGUCAAGUGCUCUCCAACACCAUUGCGUCGUUGCCGUUGUCUUCCCCUCUACUAGAGCGCGUGGGGUUUCCUCUUCCCCCAUCGCUCAGCCAUCGUAGACGCCGCUGCCAAAGUGUCUGUCAGCGCCUCCGUUGGUGCCCCUAGUCGCCAUCCAUGGCCAGCACCAAGUCUGCAACUGGAAUCAUCACUAGGAACCACUCUAUUGCUUCAUUUCCCC